CCUGAUACCUUUCAUGUGAUGCUACACUACAUUCAGGCUGGAAUUUGGUGUCUUAUUGCUACAAAAAGUCUUAAGAUCUCUGUUUUAAUGUUGAUGCUGGUCAGUUGUGCCUGAAUUCCAAUAGGGGGAACGUAUGGUGAAGAGUAUCCAGCCCUUGCCUCCUUGUCAUGGCCUGAACUCGUUUUUCAGCUUGGAUCCUGCAGAGAGGACGAGUGAUGGAGUGGAUACACACGGCUGCUAGUGCAA
rnacentral:lncRNA from 1 species